AUUGAACGCUGGCGGCAGGCCUAACACAUGCAAGUCGGACGGUAGCACAGAGAGCUUGCUCUUGGGUGACGAGUGGCGGACGGGUGAGUAAUGUCUGGGGAUCUGCCCGAUAGAGGGGGAUAACCACUGGAAACGGUGGCUAAUACCGCAUAACGUCGCAAGACCAAAGAGGGGGACCUUCGGGCCUCUCACUAUCGGAUGAACCCAGAUGGGAUUAGCUAGUAGGCGGGGUAAUGGCCCACCUAGGCGACGAUCCCUAGCUGGUCUGAGAGGAUGACCAGCCACACUGGAACUGAGACACGGUCCAGACUCCUACGGGAGGCAGCAGUGGGGAAUAUUGCACAAUGGGCGCAAGCCUGAUGCAGCCAUGCCGCGUGUAUGAAGAAGGCCUUCGGGUUGUAAAGUACUUUCAGCGGGGAGGAAGGCGAUGUGGUUAAUAACCGCAUCGAUUGACGUUACCCGCAGAAGAAGCACCGGCUAACUCCGUG
rnacentral:rRNA from 1 species